rnacentral:lncRNA from 10 species
GUGUGUCUGACUUCCAGCCUAAUGGCUUUUCUUAAAAACACCCCCAAACUCUUGGUAACAUCUAUGCAAUGAAAAGGGUUGUCAUGAAAACUGCUUCCCAGUUUGUUAAAUUCUUAUGCAGGUCUCCAGUGUCAGAAACGCUGAGUAUCACUAAUCUCAAGACCUUCUCUCUGCUAUACGAGCUCUGGCAGAGCUUGUCUCCAAGGGCUAGACAGGAAAAAAAAAAUCUGGGUUCAAUUAAAAUAUAUCAAUAAAGAGAACUAAAAGGAGCUCCAAAACGUUGCUGCCCUUCUGCGGGCUGUCUGUGUGUAAUGCCGGCUCCUUCACUCUUUUAUGGCACCAUGAUUGUGUUUUACCCUCCCGACUGUUAACUGCCAACUGUUAACUGUUAACUGCCCAAGGUUGCCCUGCUGAUGUCAUGCCUGACCAUAUGACUUGCUCCAGCCAAUGAAAUGUAAGCAGAAGUGACAUAUGCAGCAUGACCAGUGGAAGCUUCGAAGAGCUAUUGCCAAUUUCCACCCUCUCUCUGGAAACUGUCAUUAGGGUUAGGGAAACUGUCAUGAGAUCUGCAUAUUUUAGAUAGAGGCUGCUUGCCUUAUUUGGGCACCUAAUGAAAAAGACAUGGAGGCCAGGUGCGGUGGCUCAUGUCUGUAAUCCCAGCACUUUGGGAGGCCAAGGCGAGUGGAUCACCUGAGGUCAGGAGUUCGAGACCAGCCUGACCAACAUGGCAAAACCCCGUCUGUACUAAAAGUGCAAACACAAAGGGAACUGCGUGGCUUGUUUCUACCUGAACAUUGUCAAGUGAUUUCAUCCUUUGAAACACAGUUGUGAAGUGUGUCCAGCAGUCUGAGAACAAGAAGAAGAAGAAAAUCUAAUCCUUCAGGGUGUCUGUGUGCCAGCCCUGCUCUCAGCACUUCCCAUGUGGAACUCCUUUACUUCUCCUAACAACUCCAUGACAUGGGUUAGACUGUGAUUGUUCCCAUAUUGUUGGUAGGGAAACUGAGGCAUGCAGGUGUUACAGAGCUCUCUCAAGUGGCAAGCUUUCUGGGUGGUUACAGAGUGGCAGAGCUGGGGUAUCCCAUGAUGUCACCACACUGCUAUAUGGAAAAGAACAUUAAUCGAGCACCUACGUGCUUGAUUCUCUUAAUUCUGUGACUGAACUCUCAAAACACCCUGGAGCACUGCGUGUUUUGAAAUAUACAAAUAGUGGGAAACGAAAUCUUUGUUCUGGAUGCAGUUAUAAUUUGGAAAGCGAGGAAAUAAAUUAUAACAAGGGGAAAAAACAGACACAGAGGGAUUGAAAUGCAUAACAAUAGAGAUGAAACACGAAGAGUGAUAAAUGAAGAUUGAGUGUGCACACCUUCUGGAGGAGCCCUGAUUGAGUAUUUUAAAAUACUACUAAAGUCAUGCCGUGUGACUUCUGAAGCUAGCUCCUAAGAAGUCCUUGCAGCUUCUGCCUGCGACUCUUAGAACACUUGCUUUGAAGGAUGCCAGAUGCUGUCUUAAAAGUCUGAGCACUCUGAAACCAUCAUGCUGUGAGGAAGCCCAAGCUAACCACAUGGGCAAAAAAGAUGCCCUCUGACUGCCACCAUUUGAGACACUCUAAUUAAGAACUGCCUCAUUGAGCCCAUGAGGCCCUGUGAAUGAUAAUAAUAAAUUGUUUUUAACCACUAUGUUUUUGGAUUUGUUAUAAGUUUAUAGAUAACAAGAAAAAGUUAUAUUAGCAUGGUAAUAAAAUUAUGGAUAUGUGUAAGUUUGGUGUUUUGUUUCUUUUUUUUUUUUACACUAAGCCUAUAUUACUGUUGUAAUUUAGGAAAUCACUUGUUUUCCUCCAGCACUUCAAUGUAAGAGUGGCACUACUUAGAAUGUACUUCUUAAGAUAUGGCU